AGUGUGGAGAAGGACCAGAAAGUGUCUACAAGCUGGUGGGGGCGGUGGUAGUGGUCCGUUGACGUCACAAAUAUUGGGAAGGGGGACAUUUCUUUGUCCACAAGAGGGCCGUGGCGGUGUUGGAAGUUGUACCUGCCAUGAGGUAAAUGAAAAACAAAAAAAAAACAUUUUUAGUGCUCAUUUUUGACGAAGAGAGGGCAAUGUAGCAAGGGAUUUUCUUCAAGGAGGAUGCAUUGGUGGCAGCAAGUGUUAAAUUGUCAUGAAGCUGGUGACCCCUCGAAAGGCUGCCCGAAUCUGUUCAGUGAAUUGACGGAAGACGGAAAGCCGUGUGAGCAAUACAUUCUGGAAGCGGUGACACGUGAUGAAAAGGAACUGUUUAAGGGCAUCGUCUGUGGGGAAAGCUGUAACAAUUUUGAUAAUGUCGUCCACCAGGUUACAGGAAAAGAUGUACCUCAAAAUACCUAACAUCAUUCGCAGAAGCCGGCCUGCGCCAACUACUACUUCAAAACAUUAAUAAUUCUGGCGACAUAAAACCAACACCUCUUCAGAAAGCUUCUGUUGCAGUUAUUCUUGCCAAAAGAGAUUUAAUUGCUUGUGCUAUUACGGGCUCCGGCAAAACGGUAAUCCAAUUAAUUAACGCUGUGUAAUCUUGAAACCUUGAUGCCCUAGUACUGGCUUGGUUCCAAUGGAUUGGUAUGAACUGGGUAAGUUGAAGUAAAAGUAAUUUUGAGUGGGCCCGCCGGUGAUUGCGACUACUAAAAGGUCCAAUUACAUCUAAGAUACUCAACAAACCCUUUGUGAUAUUCGUUGAUUAAGUCAUCUAAAAUUUUACCUUUUUUUCAUGUAGGCGGCGUACUUUGUACUGGUUAUGAACAUAUUGUUAGAACAAGGUAUUGCUGGUGCGUCUCAUGCCAUGAGGCAAAAGCAAGAAGUUGUAAUCGUCGCACCCACGCGUGAAUUGGCCAUUCAAAUUCACCGCGAGGCGUGUAAAUUCUCCUACAGUUCGGUUUUAAAGUCUGUGAUUAUAUAUGGAGGAACUGUCACGAGUCAUCAGCGGUCAAAAUCUUCAAGCUGGGUGCAAUACUCUUGUCACGACCGCGGGGCGACUCCAGGAUUUUUUCGACCGUGGAGUAUUUGACUUCCGGGGGUCAGGUUUUAAAUUUUGGACGAAGCUGAUCGAAUGCUUGAUAUGGGUUUCGGUCCCAAUUUUGAAAAAAUUGUCAACCAUCCAACGAUGCAUCCGAAAGGAAUCCGUCGUGUUUGUAUGUGUUCGGCUACAUCCCAGAUGAAGUACAAGCGCUGGCUGUGGCGUACAUGGAAGACCACAUAUUCGUUACAGCAGGCAUUGUCGGUGGCACCAAUCCGGAUGUUGAACAGCAGUUUUUUCAGUGCUCGAAAAGAGAUAGAGGGCUAAACUGAUCGAAGUUUUACAAGAUCUCGGUGAUGCCAAGACUAUCGUUUUUGUCGGCAGCAAAAAGACGGCGGAUUUCGUCGCUUCAUUUUUCUGCAAGAACAACUUACAAAUAAGACUUGAACCUGUUGUAAAUUGGGCAA